rnacentral:rRNA from 1 species
GACGAACGCUGGCGGCGUGCCUAACACAUGCAAGUCGAACGGAGAUAUGAUUUCGGUUGUAUCUUAGUGGCGAACGGGUGAGUAACGCGUGAGCAACCUGACCUUCAGAGGGGGAUAACAUUUGGAAACAGAUGCUAAUACCGCAUAAGACCACGACCCGACAUCGGGAUGAGGUCAAAGGAGCAAUCCGCUGAAGGAGGGGCUCGCGUCCCAUUAGAUAGAUGGCGGGGUAACGGCCCACCAUGUCGACGAUGGGUAGCCGAGCUGAGAGGCUGAUCGGCCACACUGGAACUGAGACACGGUCCAGACUCCUACGGGAGGCAGCAGUGGGGAAUAUUGGGCAAUGGGCGAAAGCCUGACCCAGCAACGCCGCG